rnacentral:rRNA from 1 species
GACGAACGCUGGCGGCGUGCUUAACACAUGCAAGUCGAACGAUGAAGCCGGAGCUUGCUCUGGUGAAUUAGUGGCGAACGGGUGAGUAACACGUGAGUAACCUGCCCUUGACUCUGGGAUAACUGCUAGAAAUGGUAGCUAAUACCGGAUACGACCCUCGGAGGCAUCUCCAGGGGGUGGAAAGAAUUUCGGUCAAGGAUGGAGUGGCGGCCUAUCAGCUAGUUGGUGAGGUAAUGGCUCACCAAGGCGACGACGGGCAGCCGGCCUGAGAGGGUGACCGGCCACACUGGGACUGAGACACGGCCCAGACUCCUACGGGAGGCAGCAGUGGGGAAUAUUGCACAAUGGGCGCAAGCCUGAUGCAGCAACGCCGCGUGAGGGAUGACGGCCUUCGGGUUGUAAACCUCUUUUAGUAGGGAAGAAGCGAAAGUGACGGUACCUGCAGAAAAAGCACCGGCUAACUACGUGCCAGCCGCCGCGGUAA